rnacentral:tRNA from 1 species
GCGAGGAACGCCGGGACUCCACACUGUUAAUCAGGAGGUCGCUGGUUCGAAUCCAGCCGCCCCA